CCAGCAUAGUUAGUUAAUUAUCAUUUAUUACUUAUGAAUAAAAGAAAGAUUAAGCAUUUGAGGUGUGUUGAAGCAACACUGUUGAAGGAAUUAUUUGCACCUUUUUAUAAAUAUUAAACAUCUCAUACUUCUGCUAAUCGAUAUCAGGCAUAUAAGUUAGUUGUGAAUAUCCUAAUUCCAUUCUUAAUUCAUCUACACGUGAAGUUAAUUAAACUAGUUCUGAUGGAUUGGAGGUAGCUUUGCAUGCUUUGAGAUCUAAAUGUUUAUUAUGGUCAAUUGGUAGUUAUACAAGCCAAUGAUCACAUUGCUAGGUUACGAAGCUUGGUAGUUAUACAAGCCCAUGUAUUCUUCUCAUUGCUAGGUUAUGAAACUUGUUCUUGCUUCGACUUAGGCGGUCAAAGAUGCAUUAGUAAGGUCAAAGAUGCAUUAGUAAAGCACAUUAGAAGAACAGUGAUUCCACAACUUCUAAAGGUCUGAGCAGAUAUUAAGGUGAAAUGCUUUCAGUUUGAUGGAGUUCUUCACAUUAAGGAGGCAAUGCAGAAGGCGAAAGUUUUUGGGAAUUAGGGUUUUCCUUAAUCUGCUUGUUGCAAAUCUGAGAAGGUGUGAGCCUGAAGAAGUUUGGUGGUCGCGGUUCUCGUGCUAGGCUUCAGAAAUCCAAUCCUACUGCUGAAAAAGCAAAGCUUGGUGACUCUUUGAGUUAUAGGGGUUGCAAAAUCAGUAAUGCUCCUGGGAUAAUUCAAAAGUGUUUUCCGUAUGACUGUUGCAAAUGUGUUUAAGGGCGUCCCAACAAGGCGAUUUGCUUUCAGGUUUAUUUCAGCAAAGAAACAAUUUCCUUAUCAAUAUUUCCUUUUGGAAAGGCUACAAUUUGAGAAAUCUCUCUAGCCUAACUCAAUUCCACUGAUCGAAGGUUGAAUAUACAGCGAAUUGGUUGAUGUGGCAACAGUAAGCCCAGGGAACAAUUAUGAUGUGGGAACAUGAUUGCAUGAGCAUUAUUAUAACCGUAUGAAGAUUGAGAAAGAGGUUCAAGAACGCAAUGAAGUUUUAAAUUUUUUAUUCAAAUGUCUUUUAGCUUUA